UCCGGCCACGGGCCCGCUCCGGCCGCGGGGAGCUGGGGGCCUGCCGGGGAGGGAAGAACGGCGGCAGCCCUUUCCCCGUUCCUCCCGUGCUCCGGGACCCCGAGCAGAGCUGCUCGUUUGUCCCCGUGUCCCUGUGUCUGUCCUCAGGCGGCCCCAGGAGCUGGCACUGACCGUGCCGCGGCUCGGGCACAGGCUGCUCCCAGCUCUGCCUGCGGAACUUCGGCAAUUACCGACAGCAGUUCUUUGCCCUGCCAUCCAGAAGGUGCGGCUCAUCUGACACCAGCCAGACGGGGAAGGCCCUGCCUGGGAGGGAAACGGCUACAGGGGAGGAAACCAAGAAAUGCUCCAACCGGAUGGUGCUGCGCGAGUCAAAAGAGGGGCAAGACCGCGGGCAAAUACAGUCAGGAAAUGAGCUUUUAUUCAAUCUCUGCAGGAGCCCUUCGCAGCCACGGGCCGGAGGGAGCGCGGCCGGCUGGGCUGUGCCCGGCUGGGGACGGGCACCAAUUCAUCGCUGCCCUGCUCAGGGAGGUUUUCCGGCCCCGUCCGGGCUUCACCCAACGGCUGCAAAGGUGCUCGUGCGGCAUCCGAGCUCAUUUCCAGGGAUAAAGGAGCCAAACGAGUCCGGAGGGAUCCCUCGCUCCGAGGCAAAGGCGUUUGGUCGAGUGUCGCCGCCUGGUCCCGCCUGCGGGGGAGCGUCUCCUCCAGGGGAUGGAGGAGCUGUGCCCUGGAGCUGUGCCCUACAGCCCCCGUGGGGUGGGCACGGGGAAAGGGCUGCCCGCGGCUCCUCAGCCGGGCGCUGCUCUGAACGGGCCCCCUGAGAUGCCUCACCCUGGACACGCCCCAGCGCCAGCCCCAAAGGACCCAAAGAAUCCAGCUGGCACUCGGCAGUGUCGGCACGGCGGGGCUGCAGAGCAGCGCGGGCAGCCAUUCCCAGGGCCCACCUCCCAGAGCUCCCCCGCGCCCCCCACGUGUGUCCCGCCCGCCCCAAAUCCCUGCCCUUCCAGCCGGAGGCCAGCAGCCAGCAGCAGCCUUAAAGCCAGGGCCAUGUGCCCUCAGCGGCACUAAAUCCCGAGCAAGAGCCCUCGGAGAUGCCUGAAAAGAAAAGGGGGUGCUUGGAGAAAAUUGGGCUUGGAUGCAAUUCGCAGUUUUUCGGGGACCCAACCGCACCUGCAGAACCCGUGGACAGCUUGAACAGGUGGGUCAGAGCCGAGGUGCCCUGAAGGCAGGGCUGUGCAUCCCUUUCCUCGGGGAAAAGAACUCCCCGGGGCCGCUCCCGAGGCUCCGAAGGGACAGCGGCUUCCCGGCCGGACAGACGUCCUCGCCCGUGCUCAGGGGCUGCCUCGCCCCGGGCCGGGAGCGCGUCCGGCCCCCGCCUUCUCCUGGGCCAACACAUCCCCUGGAGCCCGGCCCGGGGCGGAAAACCGGCCCAAUUCCAGGGAACUCGCUCAAGUCCCCCCAGGGACACCAGCGGGGCUGGGGGAGGAGGGUUAUAAACAGCAAAGUCUGUGGAAUAUCAACCUGUCCUUGUCCCGAUCCCGCUGAGCAAACCUGGAACCGUGGCUGCUUCCUGGCAAACCUGGCGUUAGAGCGGCAGCUCUGCGGGGGAACAGCCGGGCUCCAGGAGGCACUGGGAGGCUGUUCCAGCAGGAAUUCGGCAUGGAAUUGCGGGCUGUGAAUUGUGCACAAGCCAGUCCCCCAUUCCCUAUCCAGGCUGGGAGUGCUCGUGCCCUUGGCACAGAUGGCUCUGGCUGGGCAGGAACUGAGAGCAGGACACGGGGCAGAGUGGAUCAGCUGCCCAGGGAACCUCUAGGAGAUGAAGCUACGGGAUCCUCAUUCCAAUCAAGGGAACACAUUCUGUCUCUGGCAGAAGCCGGGAGCCAAAGCAGAUCCCGCCUGGCCAGGCUGGGGGGCAGCAGUUGGAUCCACUCUGGGGGAAAGCCCCUGUGCCUGCCAGGAGCUCUGACUCUGUUUGUCCUGCCAGCUCUGACCAGUGUCAGGGCCACUGGGAGGGAUUCAGAAUCCACAGAAAUCCCAAAUCCUACUGAGGGACUCAAUCAAAGGAAGAAAGUAAUUUUUGUCAUAAAAAGCUUAAAAAAACUGUUAAAAAUUCUAGGACAGCAAUCCUGGGAUUCUCAGGAAACUUAUUAGUGCUCUUGGUUCCAUUUCAAUGGAUCUUUAGUCCGUCAAUGAGCAGCUUGGAGAACUUCCCCUGGGAUUUGGAGGCUGAGCAGGGUUUGCUUUGGAUUGCCUGGCACCUCUGGCCCCAGCUGGUGCAAACACAACUUGGGCCAAUGUGGUUAAACACACUUUCCUACAAAAACAGUUGCUGUAUCCCCUAGAAACUACCCCAAGUUUGCAGACAAAACCUUCAUCUCUGUCCCUCCUCAGUUAUCCCAGGUUUUCCUGGCUGGGAGCUGCAAGGAGGCUGUAAAUUGAAAGGCAGAAAGAGAAGAUCUGUCAGCAAAAGGCACAAAGAAGGGGACAGGUUUCAGAAAACAUUUCUGCAAUCUAAUGAAUAACUCUUUCCAGUUUCCCAGGGAGAAGAACAGGAACUCACAGCCACCAAGGCCUGACAGUCCCCUGCAGCCAGAGCUCAGCACACAGCCAGAGAGGCAAUUCCAGCAUCUAAAAGAAAAAAAGAAGAAAAAAGUGA